CAGCUACAAUCUGUCCAGGGGUCCACACAUUUGCUCAUUGGUGCUAAACCAUGGGUUGGCUUAGCGUUAUGAACUGGGCCACUGUCUGGAUUGUGGACAAUUAAAUAAAAGUUUUAGAAAACACAGUUCAGUUUCUGGAUAAAAGAAUACAAAGGAAUAGUAGUGAUGUUAUGAUGAAAUCAGUUCAGUGUUACUGUAAUAGAAAGUCGUUCCCUUUUCCUGUGCCAACUACGGUUUCAGUCUUUACUUUCAAAACUAUUAUAGCAGUUGAAUAUGGGAACGUACACCACAUCCAUGCAAAGAGAGUGGAAAUACUAACAUAUUAAUGUAGUGCAGAUUUUAGAUAGUAGGGGCUGAGUAUUUGUUGACAUGAAUUUACUGCCCUGUAGCGAAAACAGAAGCUGCAAUGGACAUUUGUACUAGAAGAUAGAACAGAAACCGUCACAGCCCCUUUGUACUUCUUUGUGAGUAAUGGCUAUUUUAUUAGGAGCACUGUAAUCACAUGUUCUUAAAGCAAUGCUCUGUUUGUCAGCUGCCAGUCAGAUGAUGAUUCAACCAGACCCAUGGUUGGAAGCCAGAUCCAACAGAGAAUGCUGGAGCCAUAAGACAGCACGAGUCCUGCAAUUCCUUUCCCUAAUUAUCACAGACGAGCUGGUUUUUAUUGUUGUUUUAUAAUCUGCAAAUUAUAGUUGACUGCCAAAAUUACUGCUAUAAAAGACAAGGUAAGUCAAGAUGCAGAGGCUUAUGAUGGUAAUAUAAUAGUAUCUGCCACUUUAACCAUUUGUGGUCUGCAGUAUGUGGCUUAGUUUAAUAUUGACAUAUGCUAUACAGCUCUAGGCCUAGUUAAAAAGUGGCUUAAGACACUUUGGAUGCAGUUCUGCACACAGGCUGCAUUAAAUAUUAUCAACUUCAAUGGGAUUUAAACAGACUUCUUAUCUUGCUUGCUCUUAAUAUUUUCUUGAGAUUCCACCCUCCUCCAGUUUAUCCCUCAACUAAGAAUCACUUUCUGAAUUAAUUGUCUAGAGUUUGUGGCAGCAGCUACCAGUUAGCUUCUAGACUUAAUUAGAUGUGCUGGAUUGACUCAAAGCUAUUCAUGGCUGGGGAUAUGUGCAUCUUAGUAUAUUAGGUUGACCGUUUGGAUUACCUUUGGGAAUGGGGAAACUGGGUGCUACACAUGGAGCAGCCCAAAUUAACAAAACCUCACAGAUGAAGAAACACACAAGCAUCUACCUCCUGCAAUUAUUCAUGAGGAUUCCACAUCCUGUGGAGUCUUAUUGGCUACACUGUGGAGUGCUAUGGGUGCGGCUCUUUGUUAAGUGUGGACAAACUCUUGCAAUAAAUAAAUAAAUUGGCAUACAGUGAACCCACAGCUUACAAGGGGGUUAUGUCCCGGGGACAUGGUCUUACUGUAUUUGUGAACCUUCAAACAAUGUGAGGACUUGUACCUUCAAAGCUUGGUUUCAGUGUCUUAACAUGACAUAGCAUGACAAAUAAAUAGUGGGUUGUAUACAACACUGCAGCUGCACUCACACUUUCAUUGUUUAUGCAAUGAAAUUCACCCCUCCUCUCCUUUGCAGUGCCCCAUGAACACUCCAGAGGGUGGAGGGAUCCUCUGGGGCAGAUUUUUUUGGGUGUGAGGUGAGAGAAGAUGGGAAAGUCCUGUUGCAUGAGUGGAAUUCUGCUUACACAGCAUUUGAUAAAACACACCAGGGCCAGCCCAAGGCAUUUUUGUACCUAAGAUAGAUCUCAAAAUGGCACUUCCCACUCCCUGCCAGGGAAGGAGUGAGGAAAGACCUACGUACAUCAGGAACAAGAGGGAAGAAACACUGACAUUGGGAUUUGCUGCCCCAGUGAAACCUGCCAUCUGAGGCAGUUGCCUCACCUUGCCUCAAGGGUGGGCCAGCCCUGCAAUCCACAGUUUCACUAUGUAACAAUCUUGGUAAAUUGUUUAGUUUUGUUUACAUGUUAUAGUAACUGCUGCGGACUCUCAUUCCCAUUCUUCAUGCCAAAACAACAAUCAUCCCAGAGAACUGAAAUAGCAUCACUGCAAAUGCACUGCAUGACUAACAAAGAAGAGUAGUGAACGCUCACAAGUGGCAUUGUUUGUUAAUUUGUAAUGUGGCACUCACAUAUAAUGGAAUCUGACCUCUAAGGGUAAGAGGAAUUGCCCAUAUGCUAUUCCCAGAACCAGAAACAAAAGAUCUACACAUAAACUGAGACUGCAGCUAAAUGGCUGCUACAAAAAGAACAGCUUGUGCUUUAUUUCUUUGUUUAUUCGAGGAAUCAUUUCCCCCAAAACUCAAUUACAGUGGACCAACAAAAUUAUCACAAUUGCUUGCUCUCUUAUGCAAAAUACCCAACUUGCCCCUGCAGGCCAAAACAGGAAAGACUAGAUAGAUGAUAGAUAGAUAGACAGAGAUAGAUAGAUAGAUCGAUAGAUAGAUAGAUAGAUGUGACAUGAAACUCCCUUGUCAUACGACACAAACUUGGGUAAAGGGUAAAGAUAAACAAUCUGUAUGUCACCAAGAGAGAACUGAAAUCUAUCCUGUUUGAAGUGUUUUUAUUAUGGACUUAGCUCUGUUUGUGUGUGAUCUGCACAAAAACAGUUUAUAUGGGAUGAUCCUACUACAUAUGCAAGAGUACAAUAAUCUUACAAAAGCCCAGUGCCUGUCCCUCUCUCUGCCAAGCUGUGGCAAGAGUGCAUGGGAUCUCAGGCGCCCACACAGGGUCUGUGUCCCUUUUGAGAAUAGAAGACACGGCGGAGGCUGUCAUGCUUUAAGAAAUAGGGUUUAUUCGCCUAUUCACACAUUCCAUCUGCACGAAAGGGUCCAGAUCUUACAGUAUGGUCCACAGCAGUGCAGGAAGUCUUUCCUUCACCCUCACCAAAAUGGAUCUACUCUUUUCUUCCUGUUUCUUCUUCCCAGAAGCCCCUUGCCCUCCCCCAGAACAGUUAUCCAGGCAACCUUCCAAAUCUCCAGUCUCUGGUCACACCUGGGACAAGGAGUUGUUGAAGAACCUCAGUGGCUCUCUACUGUAAUGCUAGCAAGCUCUGCCCUUCCCUCAGCCAGCCAGAACUGUUUGUGUAAGGCAGCCCAGGAAUCCCAUUGCAGCUUAUAUUCUCCCUUCAUAUCACAAAGAACCCAAAAUCCUAGCAUUUAUUAAUUUCUAGGGUUUACCUCAAAUCUCUAACAAUACCUUCCACUGCCAGAUGAUCAACUUGUGUGUGAGAGAACAGCUUCCCUCAUGUGCUUGUACAGUAGCUCACUGUUGUCUGCCUAUGCAUGUCUGGGUCCAGUUUAAGGUGCUUGUGGUUGUUUUUAAAGCUCUAAAUGGCUUGUGACACAAAUACCUAAAGGAGCACCCUUUCCCAUGCCAGCAUGCUUGUUGUCUUAAGAACUUCUGAAGAGCUACAGCUCCAAGUACUUCUUUGUUCAAGGCAUGCUAUGUUUUCACAAGAAAGGGCCCCAACUCUGGAAUGCCCUCCCUAAAGUGGUAUGUCUGAUGCUGAUAUUGCGUGAUGAGGCCCUGGGCCCUGCAGUCCCCUCAGAAAUAAACACACAGACACAAAUAUAUUGGGUUAAUUGGGAUAAAUUAGGCCACAACUUUAUUGGUUACAGAUGUGAGUGGUUUGGCUUAGGCAUUUGGAUGAAGCCAAACUAUAUCCUGACUCCUGCCCGUUUGCAGGAAGACUCUGAAGGGUCAACCACCAAUAGGGGGAGCCCUAUGAUAUACAUCAAUUAAGAGCACCCCCAGGGUCACUGAUGGGGUUGUGGCAUGGUCCUAGCCUACGCCUAGGCUUUGGACACAAUCCACACCCUCAGAUCCCUUUUACGGGAUUCCCUUAACGAGGAUAGGCAGGCGGAGGCAACAACUUCCCCUCCCAUAAACAAGACUUACCCAGUGCCUAACCUUACAAAGUUGUGACGAUUGCUACAAGGUAAGCGAAAACCAAAUGGCUGGUGCCAAUUUGCCAAGUGGAAAAAUUCCUACCUGGUCCCAACAACCAGGAGACCGACAUUAGUCCAUAGUAAGGCCAAAGUCAAGCAAUGCAUAAAAAGAGGGUGGGUAGGCUGGGAUAUCUGACAAGAAGGCAAAUGGAGGUCACCCCCCAGCCGUGCCGCAGUUUAAACAGCAUUGGCCACGCCCCCUGGCUAACCCAAUUGGUCAGCCAGGGGGUGUGACAUAGCUGGAAGUCCUAAUGACGUAGGCGGCAUCCCUCCACCCACUGCUGGGUCACUGGGAGGUCCCAGAUGCACGCCCGCAGUGCCACCCCCCCGGAAGGGGAGUGGUCUUACCAGCUUUUGGGAAUCUAGUGAAAAUCUUCCUAUUUCCCCAGUCCCUUUAGAAUUCAGAUGAUUUCUUGAAUUAAGCUCUCUUCUGUUUUUAGGGUGUGUGUUUUAGUUUCAUUUCAUUAAGUGGUUUUGUUGGUUUCAAAUUGUAUUUAUAUGAUGCAUGGAUUAAUUUUAUAAACACUUUUGUACAUGGCCAUGCAAGCUCCUGAUGAAGAGUGGUUAAGAACUAUUUUAAAUAAAUGAAUUAAUAAACAACCAAGAAUGUAUAAUGAACCACCUGAUUAUACAGCCUUCACAAUAUGUCUCUGAACCCUUAGAUAUACAUUAAAGCCACUAGAUAGAUUUCAGUUAAGCAUUGCAUUUAAUUAUUCAAAGUAUAUAGAGAAAAUGCCAAUGAAAAUGUCCUAAAGUAAUGGUAAACUGAUCUUGCAGUACUAUAGCUGAACUAACACUUCCCUAUGUAUUUAUGAUCCAUUCCACCCUUAUAGAAGGUUUUCAAAAGCCUUGUUCUUUUUUUCUAUUUCAAGCUAAAGUAAUAUUUCUUUGCAAGACCCAUUUCAGCUUUGAAAAUCAUUUUUGUGUGUGCUGGCUUGCACAUAAAUAAAUCAUGCACACAUCACAGGCAGUAGACGAUGGUUCUCUUCAACCCUAUUCUUCAUGACUUCAAUGCUACCUAUCUUGAAUAGCAAAACAUGCUAAUGCCCAACUGAAGAUGUCUAGCCAUUUCAAUACAAGCUGGCAAAUGGAUAUUCAGUGAGUUAUUGUCUAAACAGCUUCCUCUGAACAGUUAAGUCUCAUGUUGCCAAUUGCUCUCUGCAUAAUGAGCUUUACUGGGAUGACACUUCUUUCUUUGCAUAUUUCAUGCUCGCUAAAAAAUCUCUUUGAUCCAAUUCUAAUGUGAUCCUUCAGCUGCAGGGUUCUUUUUUGAGACUAGGUAAUGGUCACAUUAUAAACAUAUGGAUUAAAUUUUAGUGAGUUUAACAAGAAAAUUAGUCUUUGGAAAAUAAACAUGGAAUUGGAAUCUUAAAAAUAAGAAUUGUAUGCAAACUGUAUGAAAAAUUUUGGCCAGGAGAGACAUAUGAAGGCCAUCCUGAGUUCAGGAGGCCUCCCUAAUUCAAGAAAAAUAAUAAUCUCCAAAUGGAAGUAU
rnacentral:lncRNA from 1 species